GGACUUUUAGCUUAAGUUGGAUAAAGUGUAUAUUUGAUAAGUAUAAGAGUUUUGGUUCGAUCCCAAAAAAGUCUA
rfam:Theileria equi strain WA gcontig_1105316255047 apicoplast, whole genome shotgun sequence.